rnacentral:hammerhead_ribozyme from 1 species
GCACCGAUGAGGAGUCCCAUACUAGGACGAAACGGCCGUCCAGUGC